rnacentral:snoRNA from 1 species
UUCGUGCGGCAGCACGGCUCUGGCAAUUUCCCCAAUGUUGCUCACCUCUGCGCCUUUCUAAUCUACGCGGUAGUUCGAGUGUCAAGCCGUGCUCUGAGCGUAUUUGGACGUCUUAGCACCCAAUUGUCGCCUUGCGUUUGCAUAGGAGACGGGUCGGUGGUUCAUACAUCC